rnacentral:rRNA from 1 species
UACAGAGGGUGCGAGCGUUGUCCGGAAUCACUGGGCGUAAAGGGCGCGUAGGCGGCUUGAUAAGUAGGGGGUGAAAUCUUGCGGCUCAACUGCAAGGCUGCCUCCUAAACUGUCAGGCUGGAGCACAGUAGAGGCAGGUGGAAUUCCUAGUGUAGAGGUGAAAUUCGUAGAUAUUAGGAAGAACACCGGUGGCGAAGGCGGCCCACUGGUCCGGUACUGACGCUGAGGCACGAAAGCGUGGGGAGCAAACAGG